rnacentral:rRNA from 1 species
AGAGUUUGAUCCUGGCUCAGGAUGAACGCUGGCGGCGUGCCUAAUACAUGCAAGUCGAACGAGGUGCCUUUGUAGCAAUAUGAGGGUAUCCUAGUGGCGAACGGGUGAGUAACGCGUUGGUGACCUGCCCCGAAGUGUGGGAUAACAGUCCGAAAGGGCCGCUAAUACCGCAUGCGGUCAUCGGGUUUAGAAACCGAUGUCCAAAGCAGCAAUGCGCUUUGGGAGGGACCUGCGUCCCAUCAGCUAGUUGGUAGGGUAACGGCCUACCAAGGCGACGACGGGUAGGGGACCUGAGAGGGUGACCCCCCACAAUGGAACUGAAACACGGUCCAUACACCUACGGGUGGCAGCAGUAGGGAAUAUUGCACAAUGGGCGAAAGCCUGAUGCAGCAACGCCGCGUGCACGAUGAAGGUCUUCGGAUCGUAAAGUGCUUUUCUGGGAGAUGAGAAAGGACAGUACCCCAGGAAUAAGUCUCGGCUAACUACGUGCCAGCAGCCGCGGUAAAACGUAGGAGGCGAGCGUUAUCCGGAUUCACUGGGCGUAAAGCGCGUGCAGGCGGCUCGGUAAGUUGGGCGUGAAAUCUCCUGGCUUAACUGGGAGAGGUCGUCCAAUACUACCGGGCUAGAGAGCAGUAGAGGAAGAUGGAAUUCCCGGUGUAGUGGUGAAAUGCGUAGACAUCGGGAGGAACACCAGUGGCGAAGGCGAUCUUCUGGACUGUUUCUGACGCUCAGACGCGAAAGCUAGGGUAGUAAACGGGAUUAGAGACCCCGGUAAUCCUAGCCGUAAACGAUGUGAACUUGGCGUCGGUAGCUUAAACACUAUCGGUGUCGUAGCAAACGCGAUAAGUUCACCGCCUGGGGACUACGAUUGCAAGAUUAAAACUCAAAGGA